GUGUUGUAUGAAAGGAGAGAAGGUUAGCACUCCCCUUGACAAGGAUGGAAGAGGUCCUAGUGGCCCAUGGAGAGGUCCCAUGGAGAAAAGCUGGGGUAUGUGAAAAGACAAAUUCCU
ensembl:snRNA